GACAGUGUCAGGCGGGGAGUUUGACUGGGGCGGUACAUCUGUUAAACAAUAACGCAGGUGUCCUAAGGUUAGCUCAGUGAGGACAGAAACCUCACGUAGAGUAAAAGGGCAAAAGCUAACUUGAUCUAUGACCUUCAGUACUGGUAUAGACCGCGAAAGCGUGGCCUAUCGAUCCUUUUGUUGUUCUUUAAACGGUUGGCAGUUUCAAGCAAGAGGUGUCAGAAAAGUUACCACAGGGAUAACUGGUAGCGCUAAGGCUUAAUGUGGUUGUGUCAUAGCAAUCAAUUGAAAAGCAUUAAGCGGUGCAGCGUUACAAACCUUGGUGUUUAGUAAUAUCAAUGUAGUGUUUACUUGCAAUUGGGCAACUAAUUGUCUGUAUGCAUUGCUUUGGGCCUAGCGUACAAGUCCCAUUGACUUGGGCUUAUUCUUCAAUUGAGAUGUCUACGAGUUUGGGGCAACUUGGACUCGUGGAUGAGCCAUAGAGGGUGAAAGUCCCUUAAUGCGCAGGUAUUGGUAUUACGAACCGGGGCAGUGGCGUUUGGUCAAACAAACGUUGCGAUUUGUUAGAGUCAGGUUGCUUGAGAGUGCAACCUAAAGAGCGAGGUAAACUGCUCGUAAGGCUAUUUAAAUACGGCUACGACACCGAUAGCAAACAAGUACCGUGAGGGAAAGUUGCAAAGUACUUUGAAGAGAGAGUUAAACAGGGCGUGAAACCGCUAGCUGGUAAAACCCGUCUUGAAACACGGACCAAGGAGUGUAGGAGGGUUGUGUUGGUAGCGUUGAAGGCUAUGAGGGAGUGAUCCUGGCUGGAGCUGCCAAUAGUACAGAUCUUGGUGGUAGUAGCAAAUACUCAAGUGAGACCCUUGAGGGCCAAUGUGGAGAAGGGUUCCAUGCUAACAGCAAUUGGACAUGGGUCAGUCGGUGAAUUAGGUUAAUAUUCCUAAACCAAGAUGGGGAGAUGGCACGGACCACGGGAAUCCGACUGUCUAAUUAAAACAAAGCAUUGCGAUGGCCUAAGAUUGUGGUGUUGACGCAAUGUGAUUUCUGCCCAGUGCUAUGAAUGUCACAGUGAAGAAAUUCAUCUAAGCGCUAGUAAACGGCGGGAGUAACUAUGACUCUCUUGUGGUAGCCAAAUGCCUCGUCAUCUAAUUAGUGACGCGCAUGAAUGGAUUAACGAGAUUCCCACUGUCCCUAUCUACUACCUAGCGAAACCACAGCCAAGGGAACGGGCUUGGCAAAAUCAGCGGGGAAAGAAGACCCUGUUGAGCUUGACUCUAGUCUGGCUUUAAGCGGAGUAUGUGUGCAUACAAGCAAUUGUAUGUAUAUAUGCGUUGCGAGUGGAGCCACGAAGUCGUUUCGUAGAAUACGAGGUGCAAAUUCAGCUAAGGUCCCUAAAAAGGCUUUGGCGUAUUUUUGCUUGCCUCGCUACUGUAAGCGUACACUGCAACCAAUUAGACGGCCAAUUGUGGAACGAGUUUGCAAGUUUAACAGGGAAACUUGUUGCUUGUAAGCGAAAUUAUUUGUGUAUUUACUGUAGGUAGCCUGAAUAUACUUUCGAGUUUAUUUGGGUGUCUGACAAUUAACGUAAAUACGUGAACUACAAUUGGGCACUGAUUGGCGAAAUGAAAAUCGAUUCGUAAGAUUCGUGCAUUCAUAGAAAGCGAUUGGCAUUGUUAUUAUAAUACAAUUGUACACUACUAGUACAAGCUUAGUAUUUUUGAAUUCAGGCGCGUGUAUUGUCAAUGGGCUUGCUUGUUGAUAUAUGCGAUGUUUCCUGUCUAAUCGGGUAUUAACUUUACUGGCAGUUUGAUACAAUUGCUACGAUAGUUGUGAUACAGUAGCUAAUUUGCAAUCAUUGGCAGUGAGUAGGUCGGCUUUCCACACGCGUUGAAUUAUCGAUUCGUACACUUACGAUUAGUUAUGAUUCAACGCCUAAGAGAAUGGCGAAAGCUAUUUCUGAAUCAAAGGCGGUGUAAGCAAACUAAACGCAAAUAAUAUCGUUCAUAUACAUAAAACAUGUAUUUAUACAUAUAUAUACACACGUACGCUAAAUACGCUCAAUCGUUAGGUAGCACAACUAGGUUAAAAUCCUAAGAUGUGUCUACGUUCAAACGCGUUUGUAGCUUAUGUCUGCCAAAUGUGUGUAACAAACAUUUAUAUAUACAAUGAUACGUGUAUGAACUUUAUUGCGCAUAUAGAAAACACCGUAUGACUCGAAAGGUGCUAGUUGUAUGGUUAUAUCUCAUAACUGUGCAAUUAGCAUUGGCGGUAACGCAAACAAGGCUCUGAGGAUCGAGUUGGUCGGGCUGUCAGCGAGAUACUUUCAUGAGUUUGUAUCUGUGCUGGACUUGUUGUGGUCUUUUCGGUUUUUCACUUGUGUUAAGUCGGAGAACAUCGCGAUAGGAUCGGCAUGGAUCGCUCGUUUGUUGAUUGCUACAGCUACGCUGAUAACUUGUGCUUUUUAGCCUUGUGUUAGGGGGUGCGGUUGUCACUAAAAAAGCGUCAUCGGCUAACAACUAACGAUCGAAUCAGAACUCAAGCUCUCGCAUGAAUGUGAAUCAGUUUCAUCUGGUAAAGCGAAUGAUUAGAGGCAUUGGGAGCGAAACGCUCUCAACCUAUUCUCAAACUUUAAAUGGGUGAGAUGUACGACGUACUUAACUGACGCCGUAACUACAAGAAUGUAUUGAGAGCUUAGUGGGCCAUUUUUGGUAAGCAGAACUGGCGAUGCGGGAUGAACCGAAAGUGAAGUUAAGGUUGCCGAUAAUGGUGUUAUUCACAUUAACACUAGAUACACUCAUGAGAUCCCAUGAAAGGUGUAAGUUGCUAAAGACAGCAAGGACGUGGCCAUGGAAGUCGGAAACAUCUAAGGAGUGUGUAACAACUCACUUGCCGAAGCAACUUGCCCUGAAAAUGGAAGCAGCUCGAGUGUUGAACCUAUACUUCACUCUAGUUAAGUAUCGAGUCGAUCGGUCUUGAAUAGGCCAGACAUUCGUAGGUAGUUGGUAAAACAGCUACGCUGACGGAUAUUUUCAAUAAUAAUGACGGCUCAGUGAAAUCAAAUUCUAUGUGAUCUGAGGUCUAUAACAACGGCCUACAGCGCAACAUAUGCCUACUCGUAUGGUUAUACGCGCAAGUGUUAACCGAGUGGAGCAAAGAGAUGCUUGACUGGUAUUCUCUCACUUGGCCGUACCCAUAUCCGCAGCAGGUCUCCAAGGUUAACAGCCUCUGGUCACUUAGGAUAAUGUAGGUAAGGGAAGUCGGCAAAACGGAUCCGUAACUUCGGGAUAAGGAUUGUGAAGAGACAUGAGAGGUGUAGCAUAGGUGGGAGAUAUAUGUUUGGGUAAAACUGGAUAUAUAUCGCAAGUGAAAUACCACUACUUUCAUUGUUUCUUUACUGA
rnacentral:rRNA from 1 species